GAUGAACGCUGGCGGCGUGCCUAAUACAUGCAAGUCGAGCGAACAGAUAAGGAGCUUGCUCCUUUGACGUUAGCGGCGGACGGGUGAGUAACACGUGGGUAACCUACCUAUAAGACUGGGAUAACUUCGGGAAACCGGAGCUAAUACCGGAUAACAUUUGGAACCGCAUGGUUCUAAAGUGAAAGAUGGUUUUGCUAUCACUUAUAGAUGGACCCGCGCCGUAUUAGCUAGUUGGUAAGGUAACAGCUUACCAAGGCAACGAUACGUAGCCGACCUGAGAGGGUGAUCGGCCACACUGGAACUGAGACACGGUCCAGACUCCUACGGGAGGCAGCAGUAGGGAAUCUUCCGCAAUGGGCGAAAGCCUGACGGAGCAACGCCGCGUGAGUGAUGAAGGGUUUCGGCUCGUAAAACUCUGUUAUUAGGGAAGAACAAAUGUGUAAGUAACUGUGCACGUCUUGACGGUACCUAAUCAGAAAGCCACGGCUAACUACGUG
rnacentral:rRNA from 1 species